rnacentral:rRNA from 1 species
GUCCCAGUUCGGAUUGCAGUCUGCAACUCGAGUGCAUGAAGCUGGAAUCGCUAGUAAUCGCGAAUCAGAAUGUCGCGGUGAAUACGUUCCCGGGUCUUGUACACACCGCCCGUCACACCAUGGGAGUCGGGAAUGCCCGAAGCCGGUGACCCAACCUUAGGGAGGGAGCCGUCGAAGGCAGGCCUGGUAACUGGGGUGAAGUCGUAACAAGGUACC